UACGUAGGGUGCGAGCGUUGUCCGGAAUUAUUGGGCGUAAAGGGCUCGUAGGCGGUCUGUUGCGUCAGGAGUGAAAACUCGGGGCUUAACCCCGAGCCUGCUUCUGAUACGGGCAGACUAGAGGUAUGCAGGGGAGAACGGAAUUCCUGGUGUAGCGGUGAAAUGCGCAGAUAUCAGGAGGAACACCGGUGGCGAAGGCGGAUCUCUGGGCCUACUUACCUCUCAGGCGCGAAAGCUAGGGGAGCGAACAGG
rnacentral:rRNA from 1 species